rnacentral:rRNA from 1 species
AUGAACGCUGGCGGCGUGCCUAAUCCAUGCCAGUCGCGCGAACAGACGAGGAGCUUGCUCCUCUGACGUUAGCGGCGGACGGGUGAGUAACACGUGGAUAACCUACCUAUAAGACUGGGAUAACUUCGGGAAACCGGAGCUAAUACCGGAUAAUAUAUUGAACCGCAUGGUUCAAUAGUGAAAGACGGUUUUGCUGUCACUUAUAGAUGGAUCCGCGCCGCAUUAGCUAGUUGGUAAGGUAACGGCUUACCAAGGCAACGAUGCGUAGCCGAUCUGAGAGGGUGAUCGGCCACACUGGAACUGAGACACGGUCCAGACUCCUACGGGAGGCAGCAGUAGGGAAUCUUCCGCAAUGGGCGAAAGCCUGACGGAGCAACGCCGCGUGAGUGAUGAAGGUCUUCGGAUCGUAAAACUCUGUUAUUAGGGAAGAACAAAUGUGUAAGUAACUAUGCACGUCUUGACGGUACCUAAUCAGAAAGCCACGGCUAACUACGUG